rnacentral:rRNA from 1 species
UACGGGGGGGGCAAGCGUUGUUCGGAAUUACUGGGCGUAAAGGGCUUGUAGGCGGCCAACUAAGUCAGACGUGAAAUCCCUCGGCUUAACCGGGGAACUGCGUCUGAUACUGGAUGGCUUGAAUCCGGGAGAGGGAUGCAGAAUUCCAGGUGUAGCGGUGAAAUGCGUAGAUAUCUGGAGGAAUACCGGUGGCGAAGGCGGCAUCCUGGACCGGCAUUGACGCUGAUGAGCGAAAGCUAGGGGAGCAAACGGG